rnacentral:RNase_P_RNA from 2 species
AGAGCGGGUCAAGUGAUCGCUCCCCGGCAACGGGGGGAGGAAAGUCCGAGCUCCGCAGGGCAAGGCGGUCCCGAAACGGGACAGGGGGCGACCCCAUGGAGAGUGCCACAGAAAAGAAGACCGCCUCGUACAGAGGCAAGGGUGAAACGGUGGGGUAAGAGCCCACCAGGUUCCCGGGCGACCGGGAAUGCUUGGAAAACCCCGCCUGGAGCAAGGCCACAUAGGGAAGCGUCUCCCGAGCGAUCGGGAGUAAGGACUGCCCGUCCGAGACUUCCGGGUAGGCCGCUCGUGCCCUCGAGCAAUCGGGGGCCCAGAUAAAUGAUCACUGCUCCCGGAAACGGGAGAACAGAACUCGGCUUACGACCCGCUCUGAUC